AAUGAACGCUGGCGGCGUGCCUAACACAUGCAAGUCGAACGAACACACAGUGAGCUCGCUCCCCUGAGGUUAGCGGCUGACGGGCGAGUAAGACGUGGAUAACCUACUUAUAAUACUGGGGUAACUUCGGGAAACCGGUUCCACUACCGGCGAAUAUAUUGAACCGGAUGGAUCAAUAGUUAAUGAGGGCUUGCCUGUUACUUUGAGAUGGAUUCGCGCCGCAUUAGCUAGUUGGUAAGGUAACGGCUAACCAAGGCAACGAUGCGUAGCUGACCUGAGAGGGUGAUCAGCCACACUGGAACUGAGACACGGUCCAGACUCCUACGGGAGGCAGCAGUAGGGAAUAUUGGACAAUGGGCGCAAGCCUGACGCAGCAACGCCGCGUGAGUGAAGAAGGUCUUCGGAUCGUAAAGCUCUUUUGUUAGGGAAGAAAAAAAGUGGAAGAAACUAUGGACGUCUUGACGGUACCUAAAGAGAAAGCCCCGGCUAACUUCGUG
rnacentral:rRNA from 1 species